rnacentral:misc_RNA from 1 species
GUGAGUCAUCGAAUCUUUGAACGCAUAUUGUGCCCUUUGGUAUUCCGAAGGGCAUGCCUGUUCGAGCGUCAUUAUCAACCUAUCAAGCUUGGCUUGUUGUUGGGCCCUUUUGUCACCCGGUGACAGGUCCAAAAGACAAUGACUGGUGUCAUAAAGACUCUAUAUGCAACGAGCUUAUAAACAGCACGCAUUUAGUAGUUGUAUGGCCUGGUUUUUCACCCACUAUUUCUCAAGGUUGACCUCGGAUCAGGUAGGAAUACCCGCUGAACUUAAGCAUAUCAAUAAGCGGAGGA